rnacentral:rRNA from 1 species
UACGGAGGGGGCGAGCGUUAUUCGGAAUUAUUGGGCGUAAAGGGCGCGUAGGCGGCCCGGUAAGUCAAAGGUGAAAUCCCUCGGCUCAACUGAGGAACUGCCUUUGAAACUGUCGGGCUUGAGGCCGGGAGGGGGUAGCGGAAUUCCCAGUGUAGCGGUGAAAUGCGUAGAGAUUGGGAAGAACAUCGGUGGCGAAGGCGCUCUGCUGGACCAUAACUGACACUCACAGGACGAAAGCUAGGGGAGCGAAUGGG